rnacentral:rRNA from 1 species
CAAUAGCGUAUAUUUAAGUUGUUGCAGUUAAAAAGCUCGUAGUUGGAUUUCGGAUGGGAUCUGCCGGUCCGCCUUUGAGGUGUGUACUGGUAGGUCCUAUCUUGUUGUCGGGGACCAGCUCCUGGGCUUCACUGUCCGGGACUGGGAGCCGGCGAAGUUGCUUUGAGUAAAUUAGAGUGUUCAAAGCAAGCCUACGCUCUGAAUAUAUUAGCAUGGAAUAACACGAUAGGACUCUGGCUUAUCUUGUUGGUCUGUGAGACCAGAGUAAUGAUUAAGAGGGACAGUCGGGGACAUUCGUAUUUCAUUGUCAGAGGUGAAAUUCUUGGAUUUAUGAAAGACGAACUUCUGCGAAAGCAUUUGUCAAGGAUGUUUUCAUUAA